GCAUAACGCGAAGAACCUUACCCACCUUUGACAUGUACGGAAUCCUUUAGAGAUAGAGGAGUGCUCGAAAGAGAGCCGUAACACAGGUGCUGCAUGGCUGUCGUCAGCUCGUGUCGUGAGAUGUGGGUUAAGUCCCGCAACGAGCGCAACCCUUGCCAUUAGUUGCUACAUUUAGUUGAGCACUCUAAUGGGACUGCCGGUGACAAACCGGAGGAAGGUGGGGAUGACGUCAAGUCCUCAUGGCCCUUAUAGGUGGGGCUACACACGUCAUACAAUGGCUGGUACAAAGGGUUGCCAACCCGCGAGGGGGAGCUAAUCCCAUAAAGCCAGUCGUAGUCCGGAUCGCAGUCUGCAACUCGACUGCGUGAAGUCGGAAUCGCUAGUAAUCGCGAAUCAGAAUGUCGCGGUGAAUACGUUCCCGGGUCUUGUACACACCG
rnacentral:rRNA from 1 species